rnacentral:rRNA from 1 species
CCUACGGGAGGCAGCAGUGGGGAAUAUUGCACAAUGGGCGAAAGCCUGAUGCAGCGACGCCGCGUGAGCGAUGAAGUACUUCGGUUCGUAAAGCUCUAUCCGCAGGGAAGAUAAUGACGGUACUUGAGUAAGAAGCCCCGGCUAACUACGUGCCAGCAGCCGCGGUAAUACGUAGGGGGCUAGCGUUAUCCGGAUUUACUGGGGGUAAAGGGAGCGUAGGUGGCUGCGCAAGUCUGAAGUGAAAUGCCGACGCUUAACCCGGGUAAAGCUUUGGAAACUGGGCAGCUGGAGUGCAGGAGAGGGGAGUGGAAUUCCUAGUGUAGCGGUGAAAUGCGUAGAUAUUAGGAGGAACACCAGCUGCGAAGGCGGCUUACUGGACUGUAACUGACACUGAGGCACGAAAGCGUGGGGAGCAAACAGGAUUAGAUACCCUAGUAGUC